GCAGACCAGUUCGAAGAAGCAAUGGAAAUGGAAUGAUACAACACUUUUUGAUCUUUUCAUGCGGAAUUAAAAACGGUGCUUUUUCGUUAGUAGUGUUUCU
rnacentral:ribozyme from 1 species